UAAUUUUCUUACGGGCGGCUGUCCGUUUCGAAGUUUAGAUGAACUUAUAAAAAGAUCAGUACAUUUUAGUGACAUACCGUUGAAAAAUUUUUUGUUUAGAAUUAUGUUUUACGUCGAUUAAAAAUAAUUUAUAAAAACUUCAUUCCCCUAUUUUUGACA